rnacentral:rRNA from 1 species
UUUAAUUCGAUGCAACGCGAAGAACCUUACCUACUCUUGACAUCCACGGAAUUUAGCAGAGAUGCUUUAGUGCCUUCGGGAACCGUGAGACAGGUGCUGCAUGGCUGUCGUCAGCUCGUGUUGUGAAAUGUUGGGUUAAGUCCCGCAACGAGCGCAACCCUUAUCCUUUGUUGCCAGCGGUUCGGCCGGGAACUCAAAGGAGACUGCCAGUGAUAAACUGGAGGAAGGUGGGGAUGACGUCAAGUCAUCAUGGCCCUUACGAGUAGGGCUACACACGUGCUACAAUGGCGUAUACAAAGAGAAGCGACCUCGCGAGAGCAAGCGGACCUCAUAAAGUACGUCGUAGUCCGGAUUGGAGUCUGCAACUCGACUCCAUGAAGUCGGAAUCGCUAGAUUAAUCGUAGAUCAGAAUGCUA